CCAUCCCAGUUCGGAUUGCAGGCUGCAACCCGCCUGUAUGAAGUUGGAAUCGCUAGUAAUCGCGGAUCAGCAUGCCGCGGUGAAUACGUUCCCGGGCCUUGUACACACCGCCCGUCACACCAUGAGAGUCGGGAACACCCGAAGUCCGUAGCCUAACCGCAAGGGGGGCGCGGCCGAAGGUGGGUUCGAUAAUUGGGGUGAAGUCGUAACAAGGUAGC
rnacentral:rRNA from 1 species